rnacentral:rRNA from 1 species
UACGUAGGGUGCGAGCGUUGCCCGGAUUUAUUGGGCGUAAAGGGCGCGUAGGCGGCCACGCACGUCCGUUGUGAAAUCGCCCGGCUCAACUGGGCGGGGUCGGCGGAUACGGCGUGGCUGGAGCAAGCUAGGGGGCAAUGGAAUUCCCGGUGUAGAGGUGAAAUUCGUAGAUAUUGGAAAGAACACCGGUGGCGAAGGCGGCGACCUGGUUCAUUACUGACGCUGAGGCGCGAAAGCGUGGGGAGCAAACAGG